AUUACUUUGACAGAAUAGUGUAUUAAAUUUAGAAUUUAAAUAAUAAAUAUAUUAAUUAUAUUUAAGUAAUA
rnacentral:tRNA from 2 species